rnacentral:rRNA from 1 species
GUGAACGCUGGCGGCGUGCUUAACACAUGCAAGUCGAACGGAAAGGCUCCUGCUUGCAGGGGUACUCGAGUGGCGAACGGGUGAGUAACACGUGGGUGAUCUGCCCUGCACUUCGGGAUAAGCCUGGGAAACUGGGUCUAAUACCGGAUAGGACCAUCGUUUAGUGUCGGUGGUGGAAAGUUUUUUCGGUGUGGGAUGAGCUCGCGGCCUAUCAGCUUGUUGGUGGGGUAAUGGCCUACCAAGGCGUCGACGGGUAGCCGGCCUGAGAGGGUGUACGGCCACAUUGGGACUGAGAUACGGCCCAGACUCCUACGGGAGGCAGCAGUGGGGAAUAUUGCACAAUGGGCGCAAGCCUGAUGCAGCGACGCCGCGUGGGGGAUGACGGCCUUCGGGUUGUAAACUCCUUUCGCCAGGGACGAAGCGAAAGUGACGGUACCUGGAUAAGAAGCACCGGCUAACUACGUG